GAAAGUCUGUUGAAACUAUCAACAUCUUCUAAAUGCAACUCAGACACUUUAAUUAAGCUAAGACUUC
rnacentral:tRNA from 1 species